UACGAGGGGAGCGAAGCGUUGUUCGGAUUUACUGGGGCGUAAAGGGCGCGUAGGCGGCGUGACUAGUCACUUGUGAAAUCUCCGGGCUUAACUCGGAACGGUCAAGUGAUACUGUCGUGCUAGAGUACAGAAGGGGCAACUGGAAUUCUCGGUGUAGCGGUGAAAUGCGUAGAUAUCGAGAGGAACACCUGCGGCGAAGGCGGGUUGCUGGGCUGAUACUGACGCUGAUGCGCGAAAGCCAGGGGGAGCGAACGGG
rnacentral:rRNA from 1 species